GCUUGCCAAUAAAUCCUGUUUGACAAUUCAGGAGAAUCUCUAAAAGAUGCUCUAAAUAGCAAAUCUGAAUUUACUACAUAUGGACAAUAAUACUUAUUGUAUUAAUGUCUCCUCUGUCAUACCCCAGUGUGCACAUUAUGCCGCCUUAAAAAUGCUGAUACUAUUUUAAUUAGGCAACGACUAUGGGUAAAGUUCCCCUACAUAGUAGCCCUCUGCCUCUUAAUCCCAUGUUAUCAUACUUGUAUUUUAAGAUUCUAGAUGGGAUUUUUGAAAAACUUCCUUUUGGAGGCUUAAUUUAAAAACCAGAAUACCACCACAGAUAGCCACUGUUUCUUCAGAAAUUGUAUUGAACUUAGAAACGUUUAUAAAGCUUCACUUUUUCAGAGCCCAAAUGUCACUUGCCCUUCACUCUGGGAUAGACCUUGCAAUCUCUGAUUAGAUCUUCCAUUAUCUUUUUUCCCCCUAACUUGGAGCACCAAGUGUCUAUUCAUCUAAUAUUCUUGGUACACAACAUCCAUGCUCCAAGAAGCUUACAGUCUAAGCAGACAAAGGAUGAAAGAUGGAAUGCAACAAGAUGAAAAUGCCAAGAUAUGGAUGAUCUUUGAAAGCCCAUGAACCUGACUGAUUUCCAGAGCAAAGAUGAGCCAUUAAGUUUGUCUGGAGGAUGAAGGUUGCCGAUGGAGAUCUGCUCCAUCAUGCCAAGUUCUGCAAGGUCCCUUGCACUAGUGGUGAGAUAAUGCUGCCCACUUCUUGUUUACGAUGUCACCUGAAAGUGAGAACAGGCAUUUGCAUGGCACUGUUGGAGCCAGCAUAAGUUAGGGUUCUCAUCACUACAACUGGAAACUCCAGAUUCAGGAU